GAAUCUGGCUCUAGGUCUGGGACAACAGUUGGAAACUACUGCUAAUACUGGAUGUGCCUAUUGGUGAAAGAGAAAUUGCCUAGAGAUGAGCUCGCGUCAGAUUAGCUAGUUGGUAGUGUAAUGGACUACCAAGGCACCGAUCUGUAGCUGGUCUGAGAGGACGAUCAGCCACACUGGAACUGAGACACGGUCCAGACUCCUACGGGAGGCAGCAGUGGGGAAUUUUCCGCAAUGGGCGAAAGCCUGACGGAGCAAUACCGCGUGAGGGACGAAGGCUUUUGGGUCGUAAACCUCUUUUCUCAAGGAAGAUGAUGACGGUACUUGAGGAAUAAGCAUCGGCUAACUCCGUGCCAGCAGCCGGUUUUGUAAGUCUGCUGUUAAAGCGUGGGGCUUAACCCCAUACACGCAGUGGAAACUAUGCGGUAAUACGGAGGAUGCAAGCGUUAUCCGGAAUGAUUGGGCGUAAAGCGUCCGCAGGCGAGACUAGAGUACGUUAGGGGUAGAGGGAAUUCCCAGUGUAGCGGUGAAAUGCGUAGAGAUUGGGAAGAACACCGGUGGCGAAAGCGCUCUGCUAGGACUGUACUGACGCUGAGGGACGAAAAGCUAGGGGAGCG
rnacentral:rRNA from 1 species